AGAAGUCACUUACAACCCUCUCAUCCUGUGAUCAUCUGUAGAAGCAUUGUCUGAGUCUGGAGGUGAGAGCGCAGGUCCUCAUGCGUCUCCUGAGGAAAGGAAAGAGAAGGUUCCCAGUCCCCAUCUCAGUCAGCUGGUGAUCCUGACUGCCACUGAAACACUCUAUGGCCUGGCUGAGAGAGUCGUCGCCACUGAAUCACUAGUUUUUCUAGCGGAGCAGUUUGAGUUUCUUCAGCCUCAUCUGGACACCAUGAUGCCUUCAGCCAAGAAGCCAUUCCUGCAGCAGUUCUACUCACAGACUGUAUCAACGGCCAGCGAGCUCCGCAAGCCCAUUUACUGGAUCGUGGCGGCCAAAGCCAUAGAUUAUGAACAGAUGCUGCUGCUGAUGGCUGGAGUG